CUCUCCCCACUCACACUUCACACGAUACUUUGCCCCCCACCAAAAUAAACUUUAGCCAUAAUACCCAUUCCCUUCCACUCACCAUUUCUCCUACAUACCAAGGAACUAAGUGCAGAGCUACACCCACAGAAGUUCAGCUAUACCACACGGACAUCCCUAUCACUUCACUCAUUCUGAAAAUUUUCAUUUGCUCACCAAGAUCAUUUCGACAGAAUCCAGCACACAACAAACAAACAGGAUCAACACUCACUGAAAUUUCUCACAAGGCUUUGAGCAUCAGGAGGAUUAGCACUGCUAUUCCGAUUCAGAGAUAACGUUAAACGACAGGCAUUGCCUAUACAGGUUAAUGGCUGGUGAUGACGGGGCAGAGCUGAGGCUAGGGUUCAACUCCGUAUUUUGUCUUCCGCUAUUGCACUAGCUUUUAUUUGUCUUUUGUUUCUCCAACUUAAGACUUUUAUGUUAAAUUCUGAAUUAUGUUUUUAUUGAGCUUAAACUCUCAACUUCUAGCUCUAUGUUAUUUAACGUUGGUUAUCGGAAGCAUGAAACCGAACUUGUGAUCCUAAGGCUUAGAAUGUUGUUGAUUGAUUAGUAUCACUUGAUUUC